CCAACGGUAAGGAAAGGGAAGAGUAGAUAGAUGUGCUCGCGUUCCAGCGAAUUAGGGGUGGUGAAAGCCUAAUCCGAGUAUCUAUCGAAAAUCACCCUGGAACUGUCACCUGAACCUUGGAGUAAGGUCGACCGCGUCAUUCACGUUACGGAUGUGCAAGUGGCUUUGUCGUCUGUUGAGCCAGGACAUAAAGCUAGUAGGGUGGUACCGCGGGAAACCUUCUCGUCCCUUGA
rnacentral:ncRNA from 1 species